CUGGUUAAAUAACUUUGCAAUUUCACGAUUUUUCACAUUGAUGUUUGCACCACCUUUCCUGCAAUUCAAAUUUACAACUGAAUAUCAUUGUAAAGUGGCUUGGGCAACUACUUGGAAAGACUUCUCUGGAAAGCAAAAUUUCUUAUCUCAAUUUUUCACCUAUUUGCUGGUUGAAUUUGAUCCUAUGGACCAACCUUGACCUGAGCUUUUCAAUAUCUUGGUAAUUCUGUACAAACAUGGUGUGCUGUGAGGUUGGCAAACUUGAC